rnacentral:lncRNA from 1 species
CAUCCACCACCACCACUUGUUCGGAAGUGCCAGCAAGCUCCCUUAAAAACCAGGAGGGGAACUGAAAAACUAGUUACUAAUUGUGGAAAACGCUUGCCGCAGAGAAUUUGCCRUGCCGUUGAAGUAAACGCUAUUACGCGGAAAGCUAUGGGAAGUCUCAGGAGGUG